rnacentral:rRNA from 1 species
AUGAACGCUGGCGGCGUGCCUAAUACAUGCAAGUCGAGCGAACAGACGAGGAGCUUGCUCCUCUGACGUUAACGGCGGACGGGUGAGUAACACGUGGAUAACCUACCUAUAAGACUGGGAUAACUUCGGGAAACCGGAGCUAAUACCGGAUAAUAUAUUGAACCGCAUGGUUCAAUAGUGAAAGACGGUUUUGCUGUCACUUAUAGAUGGAUCCGCGCCGCAUUAGCUAGUUGGUAAGGUAACGGCUUACCAAGGCGACGAUGCGUAGCCGACCUGAGAGGGUGAUCGGCCACACUGGAACUGAGACACGGUCCAGACUCCUACGGGAGGCAGCAGUAGGGAAUCUUCCGCAAUGGGCGAAAGCCUGACGGAGCAACGCCGCGUGAGUGAUGAAGGUCUUCGGAUCGUAAAACUCUGUUAUUAGGGAAGAACAAAUGUGUAAGUAACUAUGCACGUCUUGACGGUACCUAAUCAGAAAGCCACGGCUAACUACGUG